AGAAAAGAUAACAUGGCGCGAACCUGCCCUCACCUUCAUCCUUCUCUUCCUCAUUACUCUGCUUUUCACCAUUGCAACUACUGCUUUCAAGGUUAAAUGAGGUGAACUUUCUGUAGAAUGUAUUUUUCACAGUGUUUUUGCAUACAUUCAGAGUAUCAUGUAAGUAACCGUCUUUGUCCUUUAUUUUAUUACAAAAAACAUGUCAUUAUGAUGUUUUUAAAAUAUUAACCAUUGACAUUGAAACUGCAAUAUUUUUCUCUUUUUCAAACUGUACUAUCUAUCAUUUCCACCACGAACAUUUUUGUCACAUAAUAAUCCUAUUUGUACAAUGUCUUGUUUUGAGCAAUCUGCAUUUGUGUGAUUUGUUUUUUCAAGUAAUAAAUUGCAUUUCUGUUAA